CUUUUGGCAUGUCUGCCUCUCUGAAAGCCUCUCUUCUCUUCUCCACAGCUCCAGCGUUGCAACUUCAGUGCCAACAACCAUAUUGCAUGCCCCUUGCAAACUUUAUCUCUCUCUCAUUUGUAUAUGUGGUUAAUGCAUUACUAGUUUGUGGGUUUAUCCAUAUCUGCAUAAACAUGCUUUUCUAAUCCAUUAUCUGUGUAUGGCUUUGCCUCUAUCAUAUCAUAUGACUUUUUAAUCCAUUUUCUGUCUAUAAGUUUGCCUCUAUCAUAUGCAUUAUUUCUCAUUAAUGCAUUAUCUUUCUGCGAGUUUUAAAUAUUAUAAUACAUAUCAACACCUUUUUCCUAUGAUAUACAAUAAAAACGCCGAUUACCGAAGGGCGUUUACCGACGGUCUUUAAGCCUUCGGUAACGAAUUAUUAAGUUCGAAAUUGGGAUAUUCCUCGAAUUCUCCAAAAUCAAUUUCAGUACUCCUUCUCCUCCCUUCCCUGUUCUCACGACGGAAACCUUGUGUGGGCGCGAGGAUGGUGCUCCCUAGGCGGUUUGAAGAGCGUGGUGGUCCGGACGGUGGCAGCGGUUUGUUGGUGGGUGGGUGUCUUCCCUUCCCUCUUCAAAGAUUCGUGCAUAUUGGCUUCUGUCAGCGCGAGGUUGGUCGCCCUAAGCCGGUUUCAAGAGGUUGUUGUUGGGAACGGUGACGGUGGCUCCUUGGUGGCUGGUUUGCGGGUUGGGUGGCUAGGGUUCUUCUUCUUCCUUCUGUGUGUUGCGGCAGGGGUGGUGGUUCGUGGAGCUUGGCGUUAGGAGGUCUUUGCCGUGAAGUUAGGUUGGUUGCUGCGCAUUGCUCCGUUGACAAAUUUUUUGGUCAGAAAUUUGUUAUCAAACGUGCAACCCACUUCUGCUGAUUGUGAUUGUGUAGCUGGUUCUUCACUAAAUUUGAACAUGGCCCAUUUUCUCAACCACUGUGGGUGGAUGUAUGACCGUUGUUAUAGCGGAAGGAGAGGUUUGAAGGAAGCUUUUGUCAUCAGAGUUGAAGAGUUUGUGGAGACGACUUGACGAUAUCAAUAUUAUGCUCAUGAUGGAGGGAUUCGAUGCCCGUGCAUCAAGUGCGAAUGUACAAGGAUUUUGAAAGAUGAAGUUGUCAAAGUUCACCUAUACCAAAAAAGAUUCAUGCCUAAUUACACAGUUUGGACAUUUCAUGGUAAAGAAAUUCCUUCCACCUCCACUGUAGUUGAAAAACGGCUUGCAUCAGGUUCGAAUACUAUUUUACAUACAUUUGAGAUAGAUCAAUUUGCCUACAGGCAAAAGAUGGUUGACAAUGCUCUUCGUCGACAUGCUGAAUAAGAAGCAAAUGAUAAUGAUGAUGAAUAGUCUCAAUAUGAAACACUCAGAGGUUUUACAAUUUACUGACAGAGGCAAAUCUACCUGUAUUUGAAGGUUCAUCUGAGUCAAAAUUGUCAGUGUGCAUUAGACUCAUGGCUAGAAAAUCUAAUUGGAACGUUCCCAAUCAAGCAUUGGACUUUUUUACAAAAUUGAUGUUAGAUUUGACACCACCAAACAAUUUUAUGCCGAAGAAUUAUUAUCAAGCCAAAAGAUGUGUUUCAAAGUUGGGAUUGGAAGCCAAGAAGAUUGAUUGUUGUGUUAAUGGAUGUAUGUUAUUCUAUAACAAUGACAAUGGCAAAAAAUGAUGCAUUGUUGGUUGAAUGUAAGUUUUGUCGUUCACCUCGAUAUCAUACGAUGCAUCUAGGACGGAGGCAAUAAAACCAAUUCCCUUAAAGUCUAUGUUCUACUUGCCUCUAAUUCCAAGAUUACAAAGAAUGUUUACUUCAUUCCAAAUAUCACAACACAUGACAUGGCAUGAUGGUAACAAAACUGAAGAAGUUUUGCGUCAUCCUUGUGAUGGUGAAGCUUGGAAGCACUUCAAUCGUAAACAUCCAUCCUUUGCUAGUGAACCGCGUAACGUGAGACUUGGUCUAUGCUUUGAUGGGUUUACGUCGUACAUUCAUGCUUCUGCAUCACCAUAUUCAUGCUGGCCGGUGAUAAUUACCCAUACAAUCUACCACCUAAGAUGUGUUUGACAAAGCCUUACAUGUUUUUAACGUGUAUCAUACUAGGUCCAUCUAAUCCCAAAUCAACGAUUGAUGUAUUUUUGGAGCCUUUGAUUGAUGAUUUGAAGAAGCUAUGAAAUAGUGUUUGGACGUAUGAUGUUUCAAAGAAGAAAAAUUUCCUUAUGAGAGUAACUUUGAUGUGGACUAUUAACGACUUUCCAGUGUAUGACAUGUUACCUAGUUGGAGCACGCAUGGUCGAUUAGCUUGUCCACAUUGCAUGUAGCAUAUAAAGUCAUUUCAAUUGAGUUAUUGUUAGAAAAGUAGUUAGUUUGACUGCCAUCGACGGUUCUCGUCCAUUGAUUACCCCAUAAGAAACAAAAGGGAAUUUUGCAAAGGGCAAGUUGAAAUGUAUAUGCCCCCGUCGAAAUUGACUAGAUUACACAUUUGGAGAAGAGUGAAAGACUUGCCAAAAGUCACUGAAUGUGUUCAGAAUGGGAUAGAAGGGUUUGGGGAGUGACAUAAUUAGACUAAAAGAAACAUAUUUUGGGAUCUUCCCUAUUGGAAAGACAACUUGCUAACACAUAACCUCGAUGUCAUGCACAUAGAAAAAAAUUUCUUUGACAACGUCUUCAACACAUUUAUGAAUGUUAUUGGGAAGACAAAAGAUAAUGACAAAGCAAGAAAAGAUUUACCUUUGUAUUGUGGGUGAAAAGACUUAGAGUUGAAGGCGCAAGCUAACGGGCGAUUCUUCAAACAAAAAACAAAUUACACCAUGUCAAAAGAUGAGGCAAGGGUAGUUUGUGGAUGGAUCAAAAGCUUAGAAUGCCAGAUGGAUAUUCUUCUAACUUGUCCAGAUGUGUUAAUGUUCAGAACGAUACUAUUCAAGGGUUGAAGAGUCAUGAUUGUCAUGUAUUCAUGGAGACUUUCAUCUCUCUUGCGUUCAGUUGUUUGCCAAUGCACGUGUUAAAUCCACUGAUAGAAAUCAGUAACUUCUUUAAAGAUUUGUGCUGCACGACACUAAAGAAAAAUUCCCUAAGAAAAAUGGAAGAAAAUAUUCCAAUUAUUCUCUGCAAAUUAGAAAGAAUAUUCUUUCUUGCAUUCUUUGAUUAAAUGGAGCAUCUUUCAAUUCAUCUUGCAUAUGAAGCUCGGCUUGGGGGAUCGUGCAAUACAGGUGAUGUAUCUUUUUGAAAGGUUUAUGGGAGAAUCCAAACUUUCAUUUAAAAAUAAAGCUAGAGUAGAAGGAUCAAUUUGUGCAGCUUACUUGCACAAAGUGACAACAUACUUUUGUUCACAUUAUUUCAAAAACUUCAUGUUGUCCCUCACUAAUGUCAGAAAUGAAAUGCAAUGGCAAGCUGAACCAUGUCAAGGUGCAUUAUCAGUUUUUUGACAAUUAGACCAUUGUGCAGGGAAGAAAUUCAAUCAUUGGUUAACUGAUGCUGAAUUUAACUCUACUCAUGUCCACGUCUUAAUCAAUUGCAGUGAAGUUAAGUCGUACCUUGAGUAUGUCAUCAUCCAACUCUUACCUUUGUAAUGGUUAAGUUGUUAUGCAUUAAUUCAUUUCAUCGUACCAAUUCAUUUCUUGUGGCUGAGCAAGUUGCAGAAGGAAAUGCUUAUGCUCGAAUACACUUAGAGUUUCCUCAAUGGUUCAAAAAUCAGGUCCGUACUUUUUCCUAUGUUUUGAGAAAGGUUAAUUUGACUCUUGCUGUAAAAUUUUUUUGGUAUCUUUGUAGGUUUUUAACCAGGCAUUAACUUCCACAGUUCAAGAGUUAAGACAUCUCUCCAAUUGGCCAAUGAGAUGUGUGAAAGAAUGACACACUUACUUCACCAAUGGUUAAAAAUUCCAUACACAUGAUUGGUUUAAAGGAAAGAAAACAACAAAUUGUGGUGUGUACAGAGAAUGGUUACAGAUGAUCAAGAUGUGAUGAACCUUCUCCUGUCAUUACUACAUUGAAAUGAUUACGAAACAGAACUUAAAACAAUAGAAAGGCAACAUCUUCCUCAACCUCAUUUGAGUUAAUGCGACCUCUAGGCUUGGUUUGUAUUGCAACAACCUAACCACGUUUGUUAAUAUUAUGGAAUGAUGGAUAUGACACAUAAUAAUUUGUCUGACAUUAGUUGGUAGAAUGAAAGGAUCAAAUGGUCGAUAUCUUAAUCUCAUUUGCAGUUCGACAAUGUUAAACCUAGGAUUCACUCUCGUACCAACUCUAGAAAGAUCAAACCAUUCAUAAUAAAAAAAUACUACUAUGUUUGGAGAAGUAUUGCUGUUGUACUCUAGCUCAUAUAUUUUAUGAAUGAUGUCAUAGAAAUCAUCAUAACCACCUUCUGUAAGGCCCUUGAUGUACACACCACAAUUUGUUGUUUUCUUUCCUUUAGACUAAUCAUGUGUAUGAAAUUUGUAACCAUUGGUGAAGCGAGUGUGCCAUUCUUUCACAUAUCUCAUUGGUCAAUUGGAGAAAUGUCUUAACUCUUGAACCGUAGGAGUCAAUGCCUAGUUAAAAACCUACAAAGAUACCAAAAAAUUUUAUAGCAAGAGUUAAAUUAACCUUGCUCAAAACAUAGGAAAAAAUAUGGACCUAAUUUCUGAUCCAUUGAGGAAACACUGAGUGUAUUCGAGCAAAGCAUUUCCUUUUGUGGCUUGCUCAACCACAAGAAAUGAGCUGGUAUGAAUGAAAUGAAUUAGUGUAUAACAAUUUAACCAUUGCAAAAAAUAAGAGUUGGAUGAUGACAUACUAAGGUACGACUUAACUUCACUGCAAUUGAUUAACAAAUGGAUAUGAGGAGAGUUGAAUUCAUCAUCAGUUAACCAAUGAGUGAAUUCCUUCCUUACACGAUGGUCUGAUUAUCGAAAAACUGAUAGUGCACCUUGACAUGGUUCAGCUUGCCAUUGUAUUUCAUUUCUGACAUUAGUGGGGGACAACAUGAAGUUUUUGAAAUAAUGUGAACAAAUCGAUCCUUCUACUCUAGCUUUAUUUUUAACUAAAAGUUUGGAUUCUCCAAAAACCUUUCAAAGGGAUACGUUCACCUAUAUUGCACCGAUCCCCAAAGCCAAGCUUUAUAUGCAAGAUGAAUUGGAAGAUGCUCCAUUUAAUCAAAGAAUGCAGGAGAAAAUAUUCUUUCUAAUUUGUAGAGAAUAAUUGGAAUAUUUUCUUCCAUCUUUCUUAGGGAAUUUUUCUUUAGUGUCGUGCAACACAAAUCUUUAAAGAAGUUACUGAUUUCUAUCAAUGAAUUUAACAAAUGCAUUGGCAAACAACUGAACACAAGAGGGAUGAAAGUCUCCAUGAAUACAUGACAAUCAUUACUCUUCAACCCUUGAAUAAUAUUAUUAUGAACACUGGCACAUCUGAACAAGUUAGAAAAAUAUUCAUCUGGCAUUCUAAGCUCUUUGAUCCAUCCACAAACUAUUCUUGCCUCGUCUUUUGACAUGGUGUAAGUUGCUUUUUGUUUGGACAAUCGCCCGUUAGCUUGCGCCUUCAACUCUAAGUCUUUUCGCCCACAAUACAAAAGUAAAUCUUUUCUUGCUUUGCCAUUAUCUUUUGUCUUCCCAAUAACAUUAAUAAAUGUGUUGAAGACACAAUCAAAGAAAUUUUUUUCUAUGUGCAUGACAUCAAGAUUAUGUCUUAGCAAGUUGUCUUUCCAAUAGGGAAAAUCCCAAAAUAUAUUUCUUUUAGUCCAAUUAUGUCACUCCCCAAACCCUUUUAUCCUAUUCUGACCACAUUCAGUGACUUUUGGCAAGUCUUUCACUCUUUUCGAAACGUGUGAUCUAGUCAACUUCAACGGGGACAUAUCCGUUUCAACUUGCCUUUUGAGAAAUGUCUUUUUUUUUUUUUUUUUUCUGGGGUGAUCAAUGGGCAAGAGCUGUCGAUGGUAGUCAAACCAACUACUUUUCCGACCAUAACUCAAUUGGAAUGACUUUGUAUGCUCCAUGCAAUGUGGACAAGCUAAUCGACCAUGCAUGCUCCAACCAGAUAACAUGUCAUACGCUGGAAAGUCGUUAAUGGUCCACAUCAAAGCUGCCCUCAUAAGGAAAUUUUGCUUCCUUGAAACAUCAUACGUCCAAACACCAUUCUAUAGCUUCUUCAAAUCAUCAAUUAAAGACUCCAAAUAUACAUCAAUCGCUGAUUUGGGAUUAGUUGGACCUAGUAUUAGACACGUUAAAAACAUGUAAGACUUUGUCAUACACAUCUUAGGUGGUAGAUUGUGUGGGUGUAACUAUCACCGGCCAGCAUGAAUAUGGUGAUGCAGAAGCAUGAAUGUACGACGUAAACCCAUCAGAGCAUAGAUCAAGUCUCACGUUACGCGGUUCACUAGCAAAGGAUGGAUGUUUACGAUUGAAGUGCUUCCAAGCUUCACCAUCAGAAGGAUGACGCGAAACUUCUUUAGUUUUGUUACCAUCAUGCCAUGUCAUGUGUUGUGAUGUUUGUAAUGAAGUAAACAUUCUUUGUAAUCUUGGAAUCAAAAGCAAGUAGAACAUGGACUUUAAGGGAAUUGGUUUUUUUGCCUCCGUCCUAGAUGCAUCGUAUGAUAUCGAGGUGAGUCACAAAGCUUGCAUUUAACCAACAAUGCAUCAUUUUUGCCACUGUCAUUGUCAUAGAAUAACAUACAUCUAUUAACACAACAAUCAGUCUUUUUGGCAUCCAAUCCCAGCUUUGAAACACAACUUUUUGCUUGAUAAUAAUUCUUUGGCAUAUAAUUGUUUGGUGGUGUCAAAUCUAACAUUAGUUUUGUAAAGAAGUCCAAUGCUUGAUUGAGAAUGUUCAAAUUAGGUUUACCAGCCAUGAGUCUAAUGCACACUGACAAUUUUGACUCAGAUGAACCUUCAAAUACAGGUAGACUUGCCUCUGUCAGUAAAUUGAAAAACUUCUGAGUGGUUUCAUUUGGAGACUCUUCAUCAUGACUAUCGUUUGCUUCUUGUUCAGCAUGUAGACGAAGAUCAUUGUCGUCCAUCUCUUGCAUAUAGGCAAAUUGAUCUAUCUCAGAUGUAUGUACAAUAAUAUUCAAACCUGAUGCAAGUUACUUUUCAGCUGUAGUGAAGGUAGAGGGAAUUUCUUCACCAUGAAACGCAUUUUGGUAUAAGUGAACUUUGACGACUUCAUCUUUCUAAAUACUCAAACUUUGAGUUUGGGGUAAUUCUUUGAUUUUUACAA